UACGUAGGGGGCAAGCGUUGUCCGGAAUCAUUGGGCGUAAAGAGCGCGUAGGCGGCCCAGUAAGUCCGCUCUGAAAGUCAGGGGCUCAACCCUCGAAUGCCGGUGGAUACUGUCGGGCUAGAGUGCGGAAGAGGCGAGUGGAAUUCCUGGUGUAGCGGUGAAAUGCGCAGAUAUCAGGAGGAACACCAAUUGCGAAGGCAGCUCGCUGGGACGUUACUGACGCUGAGACGCGAAAGCGUGGGGAGCGAACAGG
rnacentral:rRNA from 1 species